rnacentral:tRNA from 1 species
GCCUUUAUAGCUCAACGGUAGAGCAGAAUACUGUUAAUAUUAAGAUAAAUGUUCGACUCAUUUUAAGGGCU